ACGCACGCUGGCGGCGUGCUUAACACAUGCCAGUCGAACGGAAAGGCCCUGCUUUUGUGGGGUGCUCGAGUGGCGAACGGGUGAGUAACACGUGAGUAACCUGCCCUUGACUUUGGGAUAACUUCAGGAAACUGGGGCUAAUACCGGAUAGGAGCUCCUGCUGCAUGGUGGGGGUUGGAAAGUUUCGGCGGUUGGGGAUGGACUCGCGGCUUAUCAGCUUGUUGGUGGGGUAGUGGCUUACCAAGGCUUUGACGGGUAGCCGGCCUGAGAGGGUGACCGGCCACAUUGGGACUGAGCUACGGCCCAGACUCCUACGGGAGGCAGCAGUGGGGAAUAUUGCACAAUGGGCGGAAGCCUGAUGCAGCAACGCCGCGUGCGGGAUGACGGCCUUCGGGUUGUAAACCGCUUUCGCCUGUGACGAAGCGUGAGUGACGGUAAUGGGUAAAGAAGCACCGGCUAACUACGUG
rnacentral:rRNA from 1 species